GAACGGAAAGGCCUGCAGCUUGCUGCGGGUACUCGAGUGGCGAACGGGUGAGUAACACGUGGGUGAUCUGCCUUGCACUUCGGGAUAAGCUUGGGAAACUGGGUCUAAUACCGGAUAGGACAGCUGUUUAGUGUCAGUUGUGGAAAGUUUUUUCGGUGCAAGAUGAGCUCGCGGCCUAUCAGCUUGUUGGUGGGGUAAUGGCCUACCAAGGCGUCGACGGGUAGCCGGCCUGAGAGGGUGUACGGCCACAUUGGGACUGAGAUACGGCCCAGACUCCUACGGGAGGCAGCAGUGGGGAAUAUUGCACAAUGGGCGGAAGCCUGAUGCAGCGACGCCGCGUGGGGGAUGAAGGCCUUCGGGUUGUAAACUCCUUUCGACAGGGACGAAGCGUAAGUGACGGUACCUGUAUAAGAAGCACCGGCUAACUACGUGCCAGCAGCCGCGGUAAUACGUAGGGUGCGAGCGUUGUCCGGAAUUACUGGGCGUAAAGAGCUCGUAGGUGGUUUGUCGCGUCGUCUGUGAAAUUCCGGGGCUUAACUCCGGGCGUGCAGGCGAUACGGGCUGACUUGAGUGCUGUAGGGGAGACUGGAAUUCCUGGUGUAGCGGUGAAAUGCGCAGAUAUCAGGAGGAACACCGAUGGCGAAGGCAGGUCUCUGGGCAGUAACUGACGCUGAGGAGCGAAAGCAUGGGUAGCGAACAGGAUUAGAUACCCUGGUAGUCCAUGCCGUAAACGGUGGGCGCUAGGUGUAGGGGGCUUCCACGUCUUCUGUGCCGUAGCUAACGCAUUAAGCGCCCCGCCUGGGGAGUACGC
rnacentral:rRNA from 1 species